UACAGAGGGGGCAAGCGUUGUUCGGAAUUACUGGGCGUAAAGGGCGCGUAGGCGGCCUGCUAAGUCGGACGUGAAAUCCCCCGGCUCAACCGGGGAACUGCGUCCGAUACUGGUGGGCUCGAAUCCGGGAGAGGGAUGUGGAAUUCCAGGUGUAGCGGUGAAAUGCGUAGAUAUCUGGAGGAACACCGGUGGCGAAGGCGGCAUCCUGGACCGGUAUUGACGCUGAGGCGCGAAAGCCAGGGGAGCAAACGGG
rnacentral:rRNA from 1 species